rnacentral:rRNA from 1 species
AGGGUUUGAUUCUGGCUCAGGACGAACGCUGGCGGCGUGCCUAAUACAUGCAAGUCGAACGAGAGCGACCGGUGCUUGCACUGGUCAAUCUAGUGGCGAACGGGUGAGUAACACGUGGGUAACCUGCCCAUCAGAGGGGGAUAACAUUCGGAAACGGAUGCUAAAACCGCAUAGGUCUUCGAACCGCAUGGUUUGAAGAGGAAAAGAGGCGCAAGCUUCUGCUGAUGGAUGGACCCGCGGUGCAUUAGCUAGUUGGUGAGGUAACGGCUCACCAAGGCCGUGAUGCAUAGCCGACCUGAGAGGGUGAUCGGCCACAUUGGGACUGAGACACGGCCCAA